ensembl:lncRNA
AUGACAUCAUCAGGAGUUGACACUCGAAAGUACAUCAAGAUUUCAAGAAUGUUAGAGAAGAGAGUUUCACCAGAAGCCAUGUCUCAGGUUAAUAUACUAACCCCUAAACCCAAGAAAGGGUAUGACUCAACAUUGUUUGUCUGUGAAGCGGAAAAAAUAAUUCAAAGGACACCAAGCAAAAUCAAGAAGAAGAGAGAAGUAGUAAUGGAAGAUAAAGGAACUGAGGUAAGAAUGACAGACCCUGUUCCCAGCCCUGAAAGAGUGCUUUUUGCUUUAGACUAAGAUAGUAUUGAAAGAAGUCAUUAGGAUAUUCCAUAUUUCCAAAUUUUAAUAGCCUGAAGAAGCUUCCAAAAAGGGGCAAUGCUUUCUUUAUCUUUUCCUUGUGGAACUUGAGUUUUUGUUUGUUACCAGAAUUUUUUUAGCCAGAAUACUCAUUCCUAUGACACUUGCAUACAUAGGGUGAAUUUAACAUUUUUUUAAGAUCUAGAAGGGACCUUAGAGAUUAUCCAGCCCAUCCUCUGCUCAGAUAGAUGAAAUGUUUUGCCGAGAUCACACAGUUAAAGGUAGAGUUAAGACUAGGAUUCAUGCUUCCUGAUUCUCAGUCCUUUGCUGUUUCUACCAGCCCAUUGUCAAUUCCUAUUAAUGACAAGGAAAGAUCUGGAAGUGCCGACUGAAUCAUGAAAGGAAGAUCAUGGUAUAUAUAACUUGGUUUUAGAGUUAAAUAUAUUUUAUUAGUUGCCUUUUCUUUGAAAUUGAUAAUAUGGGAAAGGUACACAUGUUCUUUCCCCCAGGUAACACUUAUCUUUUCAUCUUUCUCUCUAGAUUCAGAGAAUUAUAAUAGCAAUAGUAGCUAUCAUUUAUAUGUUACAGUUUGCAAAGCACCUUAUAAAUAUUAUCUCAUUUUGUCCUUACAAUGAACACUGGGAAGAGUGGCAAAUGGAGGUUAAAUGACUUGUCACACAGCUAAUAAGUAUCUGAGGACAGAUUUGAACUUAAGUCUUCCUGACUCCAGAUCCAACACUAUAUCUACUGGGCCAUAUAGUUGCUUCAACUAGUGGGAUAGAUUCAUUGUAGGGGAAGGGCUGAUAUAGUUUAUAUCAGGAAAGUCAGACUGAUCUUCCAUAAAUACUGUCUUCAACAUGCCACUUUCCUGCCCAGAAAUCUUCUCUGGCUUUCUAUAUCCUACUAUUAAAACCUACAUAAUUUUUAAAUUUUCUUUUUUCUACAAAUUUUUUAUAGAUUUUUUUCAUAAUUUGACUCCACUUCCUUAAUUUUAUUUCCUAUUAUUAGACUUGUCUUCUGACCCAGGAGUACUCACUUCUGCCCAAGUUCUGAGCACUUCACUCACAUUCCUUUAUCUUGAAUGUGUCCUUCUUUCCCCCGUUUACUCAAAUCCUCCUUCAAUGUAUUUCUCAAGUUCUGUCUUUUUUUGUAUAGUCUUCUUCAACUUCUGUCUUCAUUAUUUUUUUUAAACCCUUACCUUCCAUUUUGGAGUCAAUACUGUGUAUUGGCUCCAAGGCAGAAGAGUGGUAAAGGCUAGGCAUUGGGGGUUAAGUGACUUGUCCAGGGUCACACAGCUGGGAAGUGUCUGAGGGCAGAUUUGAACCUAGGACCUCCCAUCUCUAGGCCUGGCUCUCAAUCCACUGAGCUACCCAGCUGGCCCCUCUUCAUUAUUUUUAUAAGCCACUGAACCUUUGUAGCCAUAGACUCCAUAUUGGGGACUAGGAUCCCUGGGAGUCUCUAGUCUAAUACCCUCCCCUACUGAGACCACAGCAUGACCCCAAGAGGGUCAGAAGGAGGGAUGAUGGAUCACAUCCUGUCCUCCCAAUAUAUAGCCAAUUAUUGUGAGAUUUGUCUCCAUCACAACUACACCUACCUUUAUCCCCUAAAUUCUUCAAAUCUAGCUAGGUGGUGCAGUGGAAGAGUGUCAGAUCUGAAGUCAGUUAUCUUCCUGUGUGCAAAUCUGGCCUCAGAUACUUACUAGCUGUGUAAUCUUGGGCCAAUCACUUAACCCUGUUUGUCUCAGUUCUCUCAUCUGUCAGAUAAGCUAGAGAAGGAAAUGGCAAACCAUGAAUCUUUGUCAAGAAAAAACCAAGUGGAUUAAUGAAAAGUCAGAUAUGGCUAAAAUGCCUGAACAACAAAAUCAAUUAAAGAUUCUUUAUUUUCAAGUCAAUCUUUAAAAUAUUCACCUGUUUGUCUUUUUUUGGGUCUGAGCUAUCCUGACUGGUUAGUGAGUGGGUGUAAAUACACUUAAUCCAUUGUAUUUUGCCAAUACUUUCACUACUGAUAUCUGUCUAAUUCUUCCUCCUUCCCCAUCUCAUUUUUCACCUCUUGCUCUAAUCAUCCAAUCAGUGUUACCAUUGGUCCUGGAAAGGGAAUGAUAAUUGACAAUUCCAUUGAACCACUCACAAUCCUUGUGAUUCCUCAGACCCAAACACACUUUCCUGGCCAUUACUCCCUUUUAUGUAUUGUUUCCUGUUACUAGAAUGAGAAUUCCUUGAAGGCCUUAAUUUUAGUCAAUAAGGACUUGAGUGACUAGUUGCCAGCCACUGUGCUAAGUACUAGGGAUAAGAAGAAGGAUAAAGGAUUCUGUUAAAAGUUUUGUUUAAAUUAAAGGCUCCUUCUAACAAGGAGCUCACAAUCUAAUAGAGGAGAUAACAUACAAACACCUAUGUACAAACAAACCAUAUACAAGAUAAAAAGGACAUAAUUAACAGGGGGAAGGUAUUAGAAAUAAAGAGGGAUUGGGAAAGGGCA